CUAGACUAGCUUCAUCAUCAGUCAACAUUCAGUCAACUCCAAACACCCAAACAAUCCUGACAUCAUCAUGGUUUCUUCAAAGAUCAUCAUUCUCGCUAUCGUCCUGUUCGCCUGCAUCAUGCAUACCCAAGCUGCAUCAUCAGAGGAUGAA